GAAAGCUUGGGCAGUACAUAUACUAACACUGGAACAAUACAGGGGAGAUUAGCUUGGCCGCUGCACAAGGAUAACAAGCAAAGUCGUGAAAUAAGUCACUUUGUC